CCUACGGGGUGCAGCAGUGGGGGAUAUUGCACAAUGGGGGAAACCCUGAUGCAGCGACGCCGCGUGGGUGAAGAAGUAUUUCGGUAUGUAAAGCCCUAUCAGCAGGGAAGAAAGAAGACGGUACCUGACUAAGAAGCCCCGGCUAACUACGUGCCAGCAGCCGCGGUAAUACGUAGGGGGCGAGCGUUAGCCGGAUUCACUGGGUGUAAAGGGAGCGUAGACGGCCGUGCAAGCCAGGAGUGAAAGCCCGGGGCCCAACCCCGGGACUGCUCUUGGAACUGUGCGGCUGGAGUGCGGGAGGGGCAGGCGGAAUUCCUGGUGGAGCGGUGAAAUGCGUAGAUAUCAGGAGGAACACCGGCGGCGAAGGCGGCCUGCUGGACCGCGACUGACGUUGAGGCUCGAAAGCGUGGGGAGCGAACAGGAUUAGAUACCCUUGUAGUC
rnacentral:rRNA from 1 species